UAAAAUUUGAUAUUAUUUGUCAUAUUUUAUAUAAUAUCCUUUUAAGUACAUGACUUAUCAAAUCAAUGAAGAUGUUGAUAAUGAACAGACCAAGGAUUUUUCUACAUCAAGUAAAAAAAUGAUGAUCAUAUGUUAUGAUGACGGUUAUUGUGAACACUCAAUUUUGUCCGGCCUAGCUAUAAAAUUUAUAAAAAUACAAAAAAAUAUUCAAAACAAUAAAAUUUAAAUAAUAUCAUUUUAUAAUGUUUCAGAACCAAGUUUAUCUUCGAAUCAUCAUCAACUUGUUAUUUAACGGGUUUAUCCUUAGACACCAUGAUGUCUUUUGGGUUGUUUCUUGCUAUUUUGUGAAAACCAAAUUAUCCCUGAACGCGUGUUCCGUUACAAAUAUUGUCAUAACCAGCGCAAAUACUAAUUACAAUCAUUGGAAAGAGUAAGCAUGAAAGGAAAUACGAUGUUCAUUCUAUAAGGAAAAUUAUUAACACUUGUUGGAAAGUUAUUGUGUUACCAGCCUCUAAAAGUACAAAAAAAAUAAGAACCAAAUCGUUUUCCAAUAAGGAUAAUAAGGCAGUAAAGCACAUUCAAAUAAAAGGGGUAUUCCAACACUUCCAGGUCUCAACUCAUCACCGCUUCACACCAUAUCCUAUUAUCCUCAAUCUCUUCUGUCCAUUCCUCACAUAACAUUCCCAAAACAAAAAAAGCAAACCCCCCAGCAACCUUGAACACGUAUACAACUGAAAAACAAAUGUUACGCCAUUUUUUUUUCAUUAUUUGGCUCGCUUGGGAUACCCUGUACUUCAAAUAUGUGGCUUUGAAAAUUCAGAAGAAUGCUCAGCAUCAACACUAGCCAAUCCAAUAAAAGCCAAGCCAAGCCAGCUAAAGUAAGCCCCACUUUCUGUGCAUAAAAAGAUAUUCGCCUAGACAACUCAUUGUGGUGGCUAGGAGCCACUAACCAUAGUAAUCCUUUUCCACCUACAAAUAAUAUAGCAUCCAUGUUAGCACUCAGAGACAAUGUUUAUUCACUCACAAUGAUGUGUGAGUGUAUGAUAAGAGAAUUAUGACUGAUAUGUU
rnacentral:lncRNA from 1 species